rnacentral:sRNA from 1 species
UGAUGAAGGUCUAAUAAAAGACCGAAACGU